rnacentral:lncRNA from 1 species
AGUUUAGAGUAAUCAUUGCUAGCGUAAACGUGGUGUUUGGGCUAGGGUACUCAUAGAUAUCCCCUGACUAGCUGGACCGUGGUAGUAGCGAGGAACGUGACAUUUCCGAGUUACCUUUGCAUCCCACAUCUUGUUAGCAGGAUGGUAGGGUUUAUAGGUGCGGGUCGAACAUCCUUUGUGGUGUCUAGAUUUCGUAAGCUUCCCCAAUAGAACAGUAGAUCAUCCUUACCAAGAUUAGAACGAGACUACGGUUGCAGUCUUCUCUAUAAAUCGCUGACAUCGAGAAACAUUCUUUGUAGCCUAAAUGGUAGUAGCAAUAGAUUUGGUUAGUCAGAUGCACGCUUUCUCCCAGUGGUAAAAAUAUAAAUACGAUACUCUGGAUAACCUCCCGGGUGAAAUGCUCACCGAUAUCCGUGCGCUUGCGGAUCAUUUCCAGAUGGCGUUACCAAAUAUCAACAAACAUUUCUGGCGCCGUUGCCGGGGAGAAAGACGGUUUGCUGAGAUAACUUUGAGUCUUGCUAUUAUCUUGUAUUAUACUUUUAUUCUUUUAUUCUUUUAUCUUUUUAUUUUUUCCAUCUUUAUGGAUAACUAAAAUUCCACACCUAUUAUUGAAUUUUUUGCACCUUCGGAGACGAGCCAUAGACCAUGGGAGUUAACAAGUCCUUUCUUUGCCCCUAAUUAUGAUCUGUGUCCGGAGUUGAUUGCAAUAGGUCAAAACCAACCCUUUUCUAUAGCCGAGGUCCUAUCUUUUAAUCAAGAAGAUAAUGAACUUUUAGCUACACCUAGGGAAUCUGUUAAUCUUUCUAUAAAUUUUGGUUUAAACCUAGCCCUACAAGACCAUGUUUUUCCUCGAUAUUUUCACAUUGGUCUUAAUCAUAUAACCUUUGGUAGAGUUUUUCUUUCUUUAUCUAUUAGUAAAGGAAGGUAUGUCUUCAUUCGUGGACAUCCUUCUUGCACUAGUCUUCAUAAAAAAUUCCUAGAGAUAGAGAAGGAAUCAUCUUUCAGACAAGGAAAGGAAGUUUCAAUAGCCGAUUUCCAAACAUUUCAAUCCCAUGAUUCAGCUAUCCAACCCAUCCUUGAGCUUAAUAAUUUCUACUAUGCUCUUUCUCUUGAACCUCCCGAUGAUCCUAUGAAUCUCUCUAGACAUCUCAUUCAUAAGAGUCACCAAGACCACAAGGA